UUCGUCUAAAAAACAAAAAGAGAUAAUAUAAAAAAUCCCCACCCGCCUCGCCUCCCUCGCCGACGCGCCGCCCCUCCGGCAAGAAGGCACCCUCUUCCUCGCUCUCGCUCGGAUGACCGCUGCCCUCGCGCCUCGGGCUUGGAACGAUCACUACACUCGCGCUCCUCACUCUCCGAUCGGUCGACGCGCUGUGCCGCCACAACCAGUCCACUACUGGCGCCGCGCUCUGAGCUAGCUCCCUCGCCGUUCCCGUCGCCUUCCUAGCUCCUUCUCAUAGUGGAGGUUAUUCCUCAUAUUCGUUAUUACAGUAACAGAAGAGUAGAACAUCAGAGUACAGGGGGUUACAUAUACAUGAAUUACAGGAAUCUAAUGGGGAGACGGUACACAGGACUUACAAGGUUAAAAGUCUAAAGGGGGGUCAACCUUCUCCAGUCCAUUGCUGCCCUUUGACACCAGCAUAUCUCCAAGUUCUCAACUCAUCCAGAAUGCCAUCACAGAUUUGCAGCAAGCUCUGCACCUUGCCAUUGAAAAUCCUGUUGUUUCUCCUCUUUCCAAAUAUGCCAGCAGAUGAUCAUGAUUAAAGCCGAGAGCUCACUGCGUCUGCUUGUACUGGUCUGAUGAAGAGAGGAAAGCUAGCCACCAUUCCAGAAAACUUUGAGUGGAGUUGGUCAGCAUGAUUUGAAAUUUGAGUUGGGCAGCAAAAGGGCAAGAUGUGAACAGGUGAGAGGCAGACUCCAUCCUAAUCUGCAAAGAGGGCACAGAGGGUUAUGAGGCCAACCCCUUUUGGCGAGAUUAUCGGCUGUCAGGCACUUCCCUUGUACAGCCAACCAGGCAAAGAAUUGCACUUUAGGGGGGAUUUUAAUUUGCCGUGUGAGCGAGCUCCUUGAAAGGGAACUCAAUCCUUCCCCGGACCUGACACAGAUAAGCAGAUUUAGCACAGUACUUCCCAUCAGGAGUCCAUUUUCAGACAGCAAAACUACUUGAGUGCGGUGCCAAAGGUUGAUAAAUUCAGAAAGAACAUUAAUGUCCAGGUUGUGCUUUAUCAAAGAUAUCCAUUUACUGUUCGUGAGGCCCUCAUUAACAGUGAUCUUCCUCUUCUUGGUGUGUUUAUAAAGAUUUGGGAAGGCAAGCACAUUCAACCAGUGGUCGUGCCAAAAUGAAACCAAUUUGCCAUCCCCCUAGAUGAAACAAGUACUAGCAAUAAACAGAGCCUUGACUUCCUUGUCAACAGGGAUCAGAAGAUCAUGCCAUGGCUUGCCUUUCUCUAUGAUUGAGCCACAACCACCUCACUUUUAGAGCAAUACCUUGUUUCUGAAGAUCACGGAUACCGAGCCCACCAAGCUGCACCUGCGAGCAGACCUGCGACCAUCACACCAAGCACCUACCACUAGUGAUAGCAUCAGCUCCUGCCCAAAGGAAAGCAUGCCGCAGUUUGUCAAUCUGCUUGGUAACCCACUUUGGCUGCUCCAUGGCAAGAACCAAAAAAGAUGGACAUGGCUGAUAAUAGGAAGCGAACAAGAACCAACCCCCCAGGGGAAGAGAUCCAACGUGCCUUCCAUGCAGCAAUUUUCUUGAUAAGCUUAUCCAGAAGCUCUUGGAAAUCAGUCAAUUUCAGACGCUUAUCCGAGAGGGGCAUCCCCAAAUAAGUACAAGGGAAGCUAGCAAUCUGGCAACCAAUAGCAGCUUGCAGAGGAGUGAGAUCAAUACCAUCACAUCUGGUUGGAAGAAUUUUACUUUUAGCCAUAUCGGUGCAUAGGCCUGUCACUUUACCAAAGAGAUCCAUUAUCUGCGAAACAGCAUUGAAGUCCUGUAAUAAAGGUUUGAUGAAGAUGAUAACAUCGUCUGCGUAAAUGGAGGCCCUAUGCUUGAUGGCCAUCUUGCCGAGGGGGGAGAGGACGUUCUUCUGCUGAGCAAGGUCCAUCAGGCGACCAAGACAAAAAGCGACGGCAAGAACGGGUCACCCUGCUUCAGACCUUUCCUAUGCAGAAUUUGAUCAGUGACCUGAGAAUUAACAAGCACCUUGGUGGAGGCCGACAGAAACAUAGCAGAGAUACUCCCAAAACCUCUGAACUGUAGUAGCUUGAGUAAGAAUUCCCAUGCAACGGAAUCAAAGGCUUUGGAGAGGUCUAGCUUAAUCAUAACAGCCGGAACCUCUUUCUGUAUAAAUGAUUUUGCCAUUUCUUGUACAUAAACGAAGUUAUCAUGAAUGCUUUGCCCUUUAGAAAAUGCAUUUUGGCACUGAGAAGUCAGACGAUGCAUGAAAGGCUGCAGUCUAGAAGCUAAGAUUUUGGCAAUUAUCUUGGCAAAGCAAUGGAGGAGACUAAUCGGACGAAACUCAUUUGGUUUAUUGGCCCCCUGGUGCUUAGGGAGGAGGGCUAUGAUGGCACUAUUCAGCAGGAAAAUAUUUUGGGUGUUGAGGUUCUGGAAGUGUAAGACAGCACCGACAAGACCAUUCUUUAUGAGAUCCCAGCACUUGCCAAAGAAUAGCCCUGUGUAGCCAUCCGGACCAGGAGCUUUUUCAGGAUGCAAGUCAAAGAUUUCUAGGCACGAGAGGUUGGUCUCAGGAAAGCAAAGAGCAGCAAGGUUGAGAGAGGUCUCUCUAUGUUUGAUAAGAUCCCAACAAGCCAUUGAAACCAGUGGACAAGGACGACGGCAAGAAAGAAGAUCAACAUCCCUAGGAGGCCAUGGUCGGUGAAGCAGAUGGGGCAGAAGAAGGAAGCUGCAGACAAGGAAGAUCAGAAAUAAUAAGAUGUUCUGGUUGAGGACCGGAGUGGAUGGCGUAUUGGCCUACAAGCUGCAAGCAGACGGUGCAGAGGAGAUGACGAUGUGCCACACGAUGACAGCGAUGAAGGAUAAAAUUUAAUCCAGUUCUUGAGGAGCAAUGCUGAAACAUUUCUUAUUUUCAGAAUAGAAGCCUGAAUCAAGAGUUUUCAUCAAGCUAAUUAGAAUGUCAUUAUCUUUUAGUCAUUCUACUCAAAGAGUUUGGUGACAGAGUAGGCUCAUUUUUUUAAAGCUAUCUCAGACCUAAUUGUGAUUCCUAAUGGAGAUUGCACUAGUGUCACUACCUCACUACUAAGUUGCGGAAAGUACACAAAGCAUGAGACUACUGAACACACAUCGAGCAAUCGGUAUUUUCCGCGAUUUCAGUAAUGGGUAUAUUAUUGCAUAAGCUACUGCUAAGUGAAUCAGGAUUUCCAGAAUUUUUGUUGAAAGUCAGCCUCAUUGAAGAUUUGACCCAGAGAGGAUGAAGAUUUGACCUCUGUAAUAUCGCCUCUCUGUAUGUUGGUGUAAGCAUCAUUUGUUCUACUAGAUAAUUAUAUGCUCAAGAGUGCCUGGAGGUGAUAUGCUCAAGUGGUGCUAAUUCAUACUAGUAGUUGACAAAUCCCUUGAUUCCCUGUGAUCUAUAGAAUCAUAUGCAUAUUUCUAUGAUUUCCCAGGAAAUUGCUUUAUGGUG